rnacentral:tRNA from 1 species
GCGCCAUUAGCUCAACGGAUAGAGCAUCUGACUACGGAUCAGAAGGUUGGGGGUUCGAAUCCCUCAUGGCGCA